AUUACAGAUAGAGGAGACAAAUCAUCUGCGAUGGUGUAAGUGGAAAUGUCUCUGCAUGAAUAUAGCUGCAAAAAACAAAAGGUUGAUGUUGACCUGACAAAAACAGAAUUACUUGAAAGAUGUUUACACUCAAAAUAAUAAUGAGUGCUUCAACAAAUGCGUUUGGGCUAUGGCGCCUAAACACCUAUUUAAUGGUACAAAAAUUGUUGAAAUAGCUUUUAAAUUCGCAGCUUGUAUAUUCAACGAAGGUUUUGACCCAAUACUGAAAAUAAUGCACGUUUUGGGGAUAAAAUUUGGCCCUAUCGCAGUCAAUUACGCUAGUAACCGCGACAACAUGCGUGUGCGCUCAGCCAAUCGUUUGAGCGGAGAAUCUUUGAUAGAGGCCAGGACACAACGAAAAAAGACUAAAGAGGAAGAAAAUGAGUAUUUUGAAGAAGCAGAAGGCAUACUAUAUGGUGCAGGCAUCGCAGAAUAAGAUCACCUGUUCUCAAAUUUCGAUGCCCGCCAACAGCAUACCUACUUUUGAAGGGUUCACGUUUGUCAGCCAUUUUGAAUGUCAAAAAAUGUUAAAAACAAU
rnacentral:lncRNA from 1 species